GGACCAAAAGGCAAAAAAAAAGUCAUGACAGAGCAGGUUCAGAGUGAUCAAAUCACUGAGGCUUCAGCGGAGGAGAUCCAAAAGUCCCUGAGUGGAGUGAAGCUGUCUGCUGAUCCACCCCAGAGUGAACUGGACACUCUCAGCGUGGACCAUGGUGGAGAGCAGGG